ACACAUGUUACAAUAUUAUUGGAACACCUCAUCAAAGGGUGAUUUAACCCAAUUUUAAUCAAUGGUCAUUUAGACAGCCCCUCAUCUUUCUAAUAUUUAUUUCUAUAACUCUAUGAGUUAAAUCCUACACUAUCCAAUUAACAAUAACACUUUACUUUAUCCUAUAAGUCUAACCAUUCUGAUUCCAACUUUGUUUUAGUAUUCAUUUACCAUUCUUUUGUCAGAAUUCUCGUGGCCUUUGGGGGAGUACCACGUGCCCAACUCCCCACUCAAAUCUUGACACAACACACACUACAACCCAUGACUACUCGACACCUAGACCAAGGACAACAGUUCACCCUCUCAUAAACCUCUAAUUAAGAAAAAGAAACUGGACAGAUCAUGCUUCUUUGCAUGUUCCCUCCUUGUCUUCCACCACAUGCAACCACCACAUGCUUCUUGCAUGCACACCUCAUGCUUGUGCCUUACACCUCCUACUUUGCUGCAUGUUAGACGUGUUACAUGCUGCUCACUUUCCUUCACUCUUAAGUUUGGAUGGAGGCCUAUAAAUAGCUUGCAAUGUGGGUGGCUUUAGUGGAGAAACACAAAAAGAAAUAUAAACAUGAGAGGUUGCAAAGAAACCUAAGCAUAGAAAAUUGUUGUGUCAUUAGCUUUGGUGCAAUUUCUCUAGUUUUGGGAGCGGAUAUUAGAAUCUUGAAGCUUAGCAUUUUUGAAAGCGAUUAAUUUUCUAAGGAUACGAAGUGCGAUAAUGUGUUCGUGUCGGAGCUAAAGAAUGGAAGUAAAGCUAGACGGUACGAGGAGCGAUGACUUGAUUGGAUCGAAGUCGCAACUUAGGAAAGAAAGUGGCUAAGGCGAUGAAGAGCCUUCUGGCGAUGCUUAGCCAUGCUGAGAUGGAGGAGGGAUAGUAACCGGCGGAGCAAGGAUGGAAGAAGCUGUAUAGUUUUCCUCUUAGUAGUUUAUGCUUGAGUCUUCUUUGUUAUCUAAAAACUCUGUUACUAAAACCCUGUUUUCGCCAUUGUUUAAGAGUGCGUACUUAUUUUGGAAACUUGCUUAUGCUAUUGUAAGACACUAUUAUUAUAUGUCGGGAACGGGUUGUUUAAUUAAGACUAUGUUAUGUAUUAAACUGUGUUUAGUUGUUUUGAAAAGAAAAAAAAUUAUCGUGUUUUCUUAGGAUUAUGAAAUAGUCCUUAGACUUUGUUAGGAGCUUUUACCUUUCGAAACUCCCUUUGAAGAAAGGAGCUUUUAAAAUCCCUUUUUUACCCCAAGGUGUGCGCCUGUGUGCGCCAAUGCUGCUCGUGAAAAAGAAGGAUGGAUGAUCGCGGCUAUGCGUUGACUAUCGACAAUUUCACAAUUAAGAACUGGUAUCCCUUGCCAAGGAUCGACGACUUAAUAGCUCAAUUGAGAGGUGCUAUUGUUUUCUCGAAGAUUGACUUGAGGUCAGGAUAUCAUCAGAUAAGAGUCAAAGAUGAGAACAUUCAAAAGACCGCGUUUAGGACGCGCUAUGGACACUACGAGUACUUGGUGAUGUCUUAUGGAGUUACGAAUGACCCUGCUGUAUUCAUGGAUUACAUGAAUAGGACCUUCAAUUCAUUUUUGGAUCGUUUCGUGGUGGUGUUCAUCGACGACAUUCUAAUCUACUCAAAGGAUCACAAGGAGCAUGAGGAGCACUUACGACAGGUUCUUAAAGUUCUCUGGGAGAAGGUCUUAUACGCGAAUGCAGCGAAGUGUGAGUUUUGGUUGGAGGAAGGGAAGUUUCUAGGGCAUGUUAUCUCAAAGGAAGGUAUUGUUGUGGAUCCUAGUAAGGUGGAAGCUGUCACUGCUUGGGACCGUCCAAAAAGUGCAACUGAUAUAAGAAGUUUCGUGGGAUUGGCUGGUUACUAUCGACGAUUCAUCGAAGGCUUUGCUAAGAUUGUGGGGCCAAUGACGAAGCUAACUCGUAAGAACCAACCUUUUGCAUGGACCGAGGAGUGCGAGGAAAGUUUCCAAGAAAUGAAGAAGCAUUUGACGACCGCGUCAGUUUUAACCUUACCACAUGAAGAAGAACCUUAUGAAGUGUAUUGCGAUGCGUCAUAUCAAGGUUUGGGUUGUGUGUUGAUGCAACACCAGAAGGCUGUGGCGUAUGCAUCAAGACAAUUGAAGACGCAUGAGCAAAAGUACCCUAAGCAUGACCUGUAGUUGGCCGCUAUAGUUUUUGCACUCAAGAUUUGGAGGCAUUACCUGUAUGGAUGUACAUUCACUGUGUUUAGUGAUCAUAAGAGUUUGAAGUACCUGUUCGAUCAGAAAGAUCUGAAUAUGAAACAAGGACGUUGGAUGAAUUUCAUCAAAGACUAUGAUUUUAGUCUGUUAUAUCAUCCCGGAAAAGAAACUAUGGUGGCCGAUGCCUUAAGUCGCCAGACAAUUCAUGUGUUGUCCCUAAUGAUUAAGGAGUUGGAAAUGAUUGAGACUUUUCGCGAUUUCAGCCUAGGCGUAGAGGUGACGCCUGGAAGACUAAGUUGUAUGGUGACGGUAACAAGUGAUUUGCUAGGAGAGAUCAAGCAAAAGCAAUUGUUGGAUGAAGAGUUGGUCGAGAAACGAAGUAUGAUUUUCUUGGGGAAAGCACCGGAUUUCGAAGUAGGAACUGAUGACAUCUUACGCUGCAAAGGAAGGGUAUGUGUGCCACGUGACGAAGAGUUGAGGAAGUUGAUUCUCAAUGAGGGUCACAAGAUUCGUUUAAGUAUUCAUCCCGGAGCAACUAAGAUGUACCAAGAUCUAAAGUCGAAUUCCUGGUGGUCAGGCAUGAAAAGGAAUGUAGCAGAGUUUGUGGCGGCAUGUCUGACGUGUCAGAAGGCGAAAGUAGAACACCAAAAAAACUACGGGUAUGUUACAAUCACUUGAUGUGCCGGAGUGGAAAUGAGACAGUAUCUCUAUUAGAUUUUGGUAGCAUUACCAACUAUGAGGAAGAUAUUUGAUUCCAUCUGGGUCAUUGUAGAUCGUUUGACAAAAUCAGCAUAUUUCAUACCGGUAAAGACAACAUAUAAUGUGGAGAACCUUGAAAAGGUGUAUGUUGCUGAGAUUGUACGACUUCAUGGGGUACCUUCGAGCAUUGUUUCUGACAGAGAUCCGAAAUUUACUUCGCAUUUCUGGAAGGCAUUGCACGAGGCUCUGGGCACAAAAUUGAGGUUGAGUUAUGCUUAUCAACCUCAAACGGAUGGGCAUACAGAAAGAACGAUACAGUCAUUGGAAGACCUGGUGAGAGCUUGUGUUUUAGAUAGUCAAGAGAGCGGGGAUGAGCUGUUGCCUUUUUCGAGUUUACUUAUAACAAUAGUUUUCAUUCCAGUAUUAGAAUGACACCUUAUGAGGCUUUGUACGGAAGAAGAUGUAGAACUCCUUUAUGUUUGUUCCAAGAUGGCGAACACCUUCUUGUUGGCCCUGAAUUGGUGCAACAAACAACCGAGAAGGUGAAACAAAUACAAGCGAAGAUGAGGCCGUCACAGAGUAGGCAAAAGAGUUAUGCCGACACACGGCAGAGAGAGUUAGAGUUUGAGGCGGGAGACCAUGUGUUUCUUUGCGUGACACCAAGUACCGGAGUGGGAAGAGCGAUGAAGUGAAGGAAGCUGACACCGAAGUUCAUUUGACCGUACUAGAUCAUCGAGUGAGUCGGUAACGUAGCUUAUUGUAUUGUGUUGCCAUCUUUUCUAUCCAAGAUUCAUGACGUGCUACACGUGUCACAAUUGAGGAAGUACAUCCCUGAUCCCUCUCAUAUUAUCAAGGAAGACGAUAUUCAGCUUAGAGACAACCUGCCUUUUGAAGUGACGCCAAUAAAGAUUGAAGAACGUAUAAGGAACUCUUCGUUGAGGCUUAAGUUUCGAGGGCGAAACUUUCUUUUUGGGGGGUAGUAAUGUAAGACCCGGAUAAUUUAUACGAUUAUUAACUAGUUAUUUAUCGGUUUAAAGACGAUAAGCGCUAUUAAGUUUAAGUUGAUGUAUUUAUUGUGCCUUCUGUGUUUAUGUAAAAAUUAUUGUAUAAUUAAGGAUUAUUAUUUUCUUACUUGAAUUGAAAUAAAAGAAAAUUUAAAAUUUAGUUAAAAGAAAAAAAAAAUGAAAGAAAGAAAGUCACGAAAGUGACUUAAAUGGAAAGAAAAAAAAAAGAUAAAGAAGAAAGUAACGAAUUGAAGAAAAUGUUUAUGUGAUUCGUAUAUGUGUAUAUAUAACUUGUUAAUAUCUUGUCUCUUGAUCACUUAAACUUGCUCAAAGUGAUCUUAAAUUAUAUCAUAGAGUUCCUAAUCAUUUUUAGGAUAAUGUUUCAUCUUUCUAAUAUUUAUUUCUAUAACUCUAUGAGUUAAAUCCUACACUAUCCAAUUAACACUAACACUUUACUUUAUCCUAUAAAGUCUAACCAUUCUGAUUCCAACUUUGUUUUAGUAUUCAUUUACCAUUCUUUUGUCAGAAUUCUCGUGGCCUUUGGGGGAGUACCACGUGCCCAACUCCCCACUCAAAUCUUGACACAACACACACUACAACCCAUGACUACUCGACACCUAGACCAAGGACAACAGUUCACCCUCUCAUAAACCUCUAAUUAAGAAAAAGAAACUGGACAGAUCAUGCUUCUUUGCAUGUUCCCUCCUUGUCUUCCACCACAUGCAACCACCACAUGCUUCUUGCAUGCACACCUCAUGCUUGUGCCUUACACCUCCUCCUUUGCUGCAUGUUAGACGUGUUACAUGCUGCUCACUUUCCUUCACUCUUAAGUUUGGAUGGAGGCCUAUAAAUAGCUUGCAAUGUGGGUGGCUUUAGUGGAGAAACACAAAAAGAAAUAUAAACAUGAGAGGUUGCAAAGAAACCUAAGCAUAGAAAAUUGUUGUGUCAUUAGCUUUGGUGCAAUUUCUCUAGUUUUGGGAGCGGAUAUUAGAAUCUUGAAGCUUAGCAUUUUUGAAAGCGAUUAAUUUUCUAAGGAUACGAAGUGCGAUAAUGUGUUCGUGUCGGAGCUAAAGAAUGGAAGUAAAGCUAGACGGUACGAGGAGCGAUGACUUGAUUGGAUCGAAGUCGCAACUUAGGAAAGAAAGUGGCUAAGGCGAUGAAGAGCCUUCUGGCGAUGCUUAGCCAUGCUGAGAUGGAGGAGGGAUAGUAACCGGCGGAGCAAGGAUGGAAGAAGCUGUAUAGUUUUCCUCUUAGUAGUUUAUGCUUGAGUCUUCUUUGUUAUCUGAAAACUCUGUUACUAAAACCCUGUUUUCGCCACUGUUUAAGUGUGCGUACUUAUUUUGGAAACUUGCUUAUGCUAUUGUAAGACACUAUUAUUAUAUGUCGGGAACGGGUUGUUUAAUUAAGACUAUGUUAUGUAUUAAACUGUGUUUAGUUGUUUGGAAAAGAAAAAAAUUAUCGUGUUUUCUUAGGAUUAUGAAAUAGUCCUUAGACUUUGUUAGGUUACUAAUGUGAUUCCUCAGUCGAGAAAUUGGGGCGUUACAUUUGCCAUCACCAAUCCUCCAACAACUACCUUUCUGGACCAUGGAUGAAGUUUUAAGGAUGCUACUCGAGGCAUAACUCGGGCGAUAACCCUUCUUAGCAUCAAUUAAGUUACUAGAAGGAAAAUA